rnacentral:rRNA from 1 species
UACAGAGGUCUCAAGCGUUGUCCGGAAUCAUUGGGCGUAAAGCGCGCGUAGGUGGCCAUUUAAGUCCGCUGUGAAAGUCAGAGGCUCAACCUUUGAAAGCCGGUGGAUACUGGAUGGCUAGAGUACGGAAGAGGCGAGUGGAAUUCCUGGUGUAGCGGUGGAAUGCGCAGAUAUCAGGAGGAACACCAAUAGCGAAGGCAGCUCGCUGGGACGUUACUGACACUAAGGCGCGAAAGCGUGGGGAGCGAACAGG